rnacentral:misc_RNA from 1 species
UACGGAGGGGGCUAGCGUUGUUCGGAAUUACUGGGCGUAAAGCGCACGUAGGCGGAUUGUUAAGUCGGGGGUGAAAGCCCGAGGCUCAACCUCGGAAUUGCCCUCGAUACUGGCAGUCUUGAGUCCGGAAGAGGUGAGUGGAAUUCCUAGUGUAGAGGUGAAAUUCGUAGAUAUUAGGAAGAACACCAGUGGCGAAGGCGGCUCACUGGUCCGGUACUGACGCUGAGGUGCGAAAGCGUGGGGAGCAAACAGG